GGGGUACUCAAGGUGAAAAUGUAGAUGAUUUUUCCCAUCUAAAUGAGUUUCAAGUUUAUUUGUCGCAGGGACUAGAGAAUGAGAAUCCAGACGGCUCGUUCGACCUUUUGGAUUGGUGGAAGGCAAGGGAAAAGCAUUUUCCCAUUCUUGCAAGGAUGGCUGGAUGUUCUGUCGAUUCAAGCGUCAACUGUUGCAUCGGAGAGCGCCUUUAGUCAAGCAAGACUACAAAUAGGUGAUCACAGGGCGUCGA
rnacentral:lncRNA from 1 species